GAUGAACGCUGGCGGCGUGCCUAAUACAUGCAAGUCGAGCGAACGGACGAGAAGCUUGCUUCUCUGAUGUUAGCGGCGGACGGGUGAGUAACACGUGGAUAACCUACCUAUAAGACUGGGAUAACUUCGGGAAACCGGAGCUAAUACCGGAUAAUAUUUUGAACCGCAUGGUUCAAAAGUGAAAGACGGUCUUGCUGUCACUUAUAGCUGGAUCCGCGCUGCAUUAGCUAGUUGGUAAGGUAACGGCUUACCAAGGCAACGAUGCAUAGCCGACCUGAGAGGGUGGUCGGCCACACUGGAACGGAGACACGGUCCAGGCUCCUACGGGAGGGAGCAGUAGGGAAUCUUCCGCAAUGGGCGGAAGCCUGACGGAGCAACGCCGCGUGAGUGAUGAAGGUCCUCGGAUCGUAAAACUCUGUUAUUAGGGAAGAACAUAUGUGUAAGUAACUGUGCACAUCUUGACGGUACCUAAUCAGAAAGCCACGGCUAACUACGUG
rnacentral:rRNA from 1 species